rnacentral:ncRNA from 1 species
GGUCGGGCGUGCGGCUAAUAAAACACCCGCAAGGGAAAUAUGCCCGCCGUCUAUCGCCGGUUUUGAGCGCCCGACCACCCUCUC